AUCUUUGGUACAGCAGAGCAACCAUUGUAGAUAUCAUCAUCCUGUAUCUAUGCUGCACCUUGAGACCCACCAUUGUGACCUCCUCAGGAUCACUCCUGCUGUCCACACAGACAGUAAGACUGGAAAGAGAUGUCUUGAUGAGAAAAGCCACUGAGUAGUAGACCCUAAUACACCAAAAAGAGUCUUGCAUGACACUGUGAAUGACAGAUGGAGCAAUAAAGGAAUAAGAAAAUAGUGUUUGAAUUCAUCAGUAAACUGGCUUCAACACAGGGACUUCUAG